GCAUCUUAGCAACUGGGAAGUACUCUAAGUGCUGGGGGGAGGGGGGAGGGGGAGGGGCUGGUUACAUAGGUAGCUGGAAGCUUCCCGUGAAACAGACCCCGUUUGAUGAAGUGGGCUAUUUUAAGGGAAGAAAGCAGGCUCUGCAAUGACUACUUCUUGACUGCCGCAGCCAAGGCAUUCCUCUUCGAUAAACCUUAACUGAUGAUAGUAUGGCCUUUGCUGGAAUAGUCUGAGUGCCAUUUGUGAAUUCAACCAUCCAAUAAAUAUUUGUUGAGUCCCUGCUCCUUGUUCGGCCAGUGGUUCUCAACUUGGGCUCAACAUUAGACUCAGCUGGGGAGCUCUGAAAACAAACCCAGGCCUGGCCCCAUCAUCUGGAGCUUUAAAAGCUUCCCAGGUGAGUCUAAAGUACAGCCAGGUUGAGACCUCUGUGUCAGGUACCACCAGGAGAUGCUAGGGAUGCAGAUGUGACCAAGACUGACGCUUCUCAUCCUUCAUGUGUUCAGAUCCUUAAAAAAAUCAGGACAUCAUCCCAGAGGCACUGUCAGUCAGACCAGGUAUGCAGGAGGGCAGGUUCCAGGAUCACCCUCAAUAUUAUGCCUGCUGCUCUAACUGUGGGGAGCAUCCAUCUAGAUUUCCAGAAUAGUCUCAAUUUCAGGUCUUCUUUCUGUGAGCCAUAUAUCUUAAAUUCUUCAUUUGGAAAAGCUGGCCUCCAUAGCUAUAGCCAUGACUAUAACUCACAGAUGAUUUCGAUGAUUUCCACCAGGUGGCACAGUUCACCUGGUUUGUCGAGAUCAAGACCGAGCAGAAGGUGCCAAAGGUGAGAUCAUCAGGGACAGCAGUGACCAGUUUAGAACAUCUUUCUGCACAUUGUGGACUUGUCUGAUCCCAAGAAAACUGGAAAUUUGUGGAAAAUUUCAAUCAGGAACAUAAACUCAAUGUUCUGAUCAAUAAUGCAUAGUCAAUAAAAGAGAGCUCACAGAAGAUGGACUUGAAAAAAACUUGGCUCCCAAGACUGUGGGAAGCUCAAGGCUCAUCAUAGAAUUAUUUGGGAGGGCAGAGCAAGUUCAUCUCAGGUGGAGAGUGAGAUGAACUUGAAUAUGAAAACUGUAGCCAAGGGAACUUCCAGCAGAACUGAGGAAGGCACAACCAUGAGACAAGGAGAUGGAGCAACAAGGGCAUUCAGCCAGAACAGAGGACACCUGGAUUCUCGGUCCCGCUCUGUGCUAACAGGCCGACUGAUUUUACACCGGGCCAGUGGUUCUCAGAUUCAUCUUCCUCGACCAGCAGCAUCAGCAUCACUGGGGAACUUGGUAGAAAUGCACAUUCUUGGGCCUCACCCUCAAAUCUACUGAAUCCAAAACUCUGGGAUGGGGCAGAGAAAUCUGUGUUCUGAAAAGCCCUCCAGAUGACUCUGAUGCACACUCAAUUUGAGAACCAAGGAAUAGGGGAAAGCGGGAGCGGAGCUGAGCAUGCACAGCUGAUUGUUCCAGAUUGACUCAACUGAUUAUGUAAGCCCUCCACCUCCCUAGAUGGAGGGAGAAGGGGUUGAGAGAGGACAGCAUCACACUCUUUGCAUUCUGUCCACGAGGAAGGAAACAUCAGGAGAGGGGAAGAAACUUUCUCCUUGGUGGUGAGGGUGCAUUUUUUAAAACCAAUACCUGGAAGUGUGCUAUGAAAUGGUGCAGAUUUGGUUCAAGUAUUUCCAUCUUUGAUUUUGCUCCAAAUGUGGUAUCAUUGCCAAAAGUCCCAAAAGUACCCAAAUGUGGGGGCAUGCAGAGGUUUGCCUUCUAACUCGGUUGGAUGGCAAAGACUCCUAGAGUGGCUGCUCAGCAGAACUGGCUUCAUGAUUUGUGGGGCCCAGUGCCAAACAGCAAUGUGGGGCCCCUGUAUUCAAAAAUUAUUAAGAAUUUCAAUACAGUGACAACAGAGCAUUAAACCAAAUGCAGGGCCCUUAGAGACACAGCACCUGUGGGACUGCGCAGGAUGAAGCCAGCUUGGCUGCUUUCCCACCCACCUAUCCACCAUCCUGCAAAAUUCUCGUGGGGGUUUGCUGCGUGCUGGGCCCUCGUGAGUGUUGUAUAUAUGUCACUUAACCCUCAUGACCCUAUGAUGGAGGUGUUCCUACCUGUUCAUUACAGAUGAGAAAAGUAGAAUUGGGAGAGCUUGUAUCACUUGCCCAAGGUCAAGUGGAGGGGCCAGAAUUUGAACUCAAGUCUGCCUUCCUCCACAGCCCAAGUUCGUAACCAGGAUGCAAUUCUGCCAUUGCUUCCUCAAACUCAUCAUUGUAUCAUCGUGAAAUAAGUGCUAAGGGAGCACUGGGAGGGGAGUGACCAUACAUGCCAGAGGAGGAUGGGCUGGAGGUGCUACUUAGAGGGCCAUCUGGGACUCGUUGCGAGAACUGAGAAUGUGGACAGAUGUGAUAGCCUCUGGGGGGACUGACUCUUUGAUUACAUGGCUGGUUAUGUUGUACUUCUGUAUGCAUCUAGUCUGCUCCUAAGGACCUUGAUAUGCCUUCAUUUUCAUUUCCUAUUUGUGUUGGAAACAUUUUAUUGAUCUUCCCAACCUCUCUGAGAAGCAUAAUAACUCUCAUGCUUUGAUAUUUAUUCAUCCUCUCUGGAGUGAGAGACACAGCACAAUAUACAAAGAAGCAUGUCGGUGACGGAGGGGGCAGCUUAAUGUGUCUCUGCUUCACAGAUGAGGAGACACAGAGAGGUUAAAAUAUUGUCAUUCUUAAGCAGGUCUAGAGCCAAAUGAACAACCCAGACCUCUGUCUGAGUCCUAGGAAAUUGCUGGCUGCCGUUCUAAUAUGAAACACGUUUUCCUGGCCCGAUUAUGUAAUGUGGGAUAGGUUGUUUUCUGUUUUCUAAGAUUCAGUUGAGUCUUUAGAAACAUUUCCAAUAAUUCCCAACCAAACCUCAGUAGGUUCCAGACACUCAGAGGACGGGACAGACACCAGUAUUUGCAGAAUUUAUCACCAGAUCCUAGGGGUUUGGAAGCUGGAGAUUAGUUAAAUGUGAGAUAUCGUCAGAGCCCAUGCCUGCACAUGGCUGUUUGUGGAGAUAUCAUAGUAUAUGAAUUAGAUGAAGUUUGGA
ensembl:lncRNA